AUUUAGGUGUCACCUUCUGCCCCUGCUCCCACUAGGCUGUGGCCACUCUGGGCCGGGAUCGCCCGGCAGUCACCCGAGGAGGCCGGCCAGCUGCCCCCAGGAUUUGGUCUGUCCAGCACCGUGUUCACACUCAGGUUCCCACUGUUGCGGAAAACCCCAGAAAGCACUGUGUGGAAACCCAGGAGGUGCCCAGCAGGGCCAGCCUUGGGCCUAAACAAAGUGGGUUUCUUGCGUAAAAACUCCCAAGGACCUGCGGUCAUGCCAGGUGUAACCGGGUCAGGGUCCGGCUGAGUGGGACAAGGCCUCCCGGCCCACCCGCUGGCUGCCACCCAGUGACUCGCGGGGCGUGGUGGGUGUCCUCAGCGGGCAGGUCGGGCACCACGCUGUGCAGGGCGACAGACCGGGUGGGCGGGUGUGUGGGAAGCCUGUGAACGCGGUUCCUCCGGUGCUGUCCAAAGAGGGACCGCAAGCCAGCCUCGCCUGUCAGCCCAGAGCUUGGGAGGCUGAGGCCGGAGCAUCAGACCGAGUUCAAGGCCAGCCUGGACUAGACUCUGUCUCAAAAGAAGAGGAGCUCCCUGUGACCUGGCCCGAGCACCGGGUCGGAGGACGCUGCCCCCUCGCCCGCACCCUGGGUGCCUGGCGCCCCGGCAGCCUGCUGGGGUCUGGAGAGGCUCCGGGCUGUGGAAAUCGAGGAACAUCUGUGAUCAGUUCCCGGUGUGGCCCAGUUCUUUGCUUCCGAACCAGAACUGUGUUACUUUUAUGAACAACAACAGAAAAGGCAUUUUUGUUUUGAUAGAAAAUAUUUGCUGGUUUGAAAACUACAGAAGAGUCCAGAAAAGAAGAUAGAAACCACCCAAAUUGCAUCCAGAGAAGCAGCUGAAGUUCGGCUGUGACCGCUGUGUGCCCAUUGGUGCCCAGGGCAGCGGUUCCCAACAUCAUGGCACUGAGAAUCAGCAGGACGGCUCGCUGAACAAAGGCUCCCAUCCUAGCCCUCGGAGGCUGCGGCAGGAGGAUCGCAAGGCCAAGUCCAGCUUGGGCAACUUUGUGACACGCUGUCUCAAGAUACAGAGGAGAGCCUGGGUUCAGUGACCAGCAGCGCAAACCCAAGACAAGUGCUUCUCAGCCGGCGGGCCUGGGUGGGACGGCGCCUGGCGUCUCUCACUCCCGGGCCCAGGGAACACACGGCAGAGUGACUGGCCUUCGGGUUAUGCCUUCGUUAUUUCAAGAAGGGGCCACAACCUGUGGUGCUGGCAUCACUCGGGAACUUGUGAGAAAUGCAGAAUCUGAGGCCCCAGCCCAGCCCCAUUGAAUCGGAAGCUGUACUUUCUCAGCAGGACCCCUGAACACUCUGUAGCUGGCGUGGUGCUGCACGCCUGUCAUCCCAGCGCUCAGGAGGCUGAGGGAGGAGAGUUGCGUUUUCAAGGUCAGCCUGGGGUACAUAGUGAGACCUUGCCUCAAAAAGAAAGCACCGAUGUGCGCAGGACUGGCUUAUAUUUUGAGCAUUAUACUGUGUUACAGAGCUUCGCCCUAGAUCACUGAUACAAUUUACACACAAUAAAUGUGCCAUUGUGGAGCUCUGAUAAAAUUA